AGUUGUCGAACGUGAAGCAUUGGCGGGAAAAAUGCAUCGUGCUACAUUUUUUGUUGUGAUGUGCACAGUCGCAGGGGACAGUGUAUCUCGUAUAUUGAUUGACAUUAAUACCGGCAAUGUUGGUGUAGCUACAACAGAAGAUUCUAGAUUUUUUGUUACUCUCAAUCCAGAAGAUGCUAAGGCUGACGUUCUUUCUGCAAUGAUAAAUCCGGGGCUGAAAGUUAAACGAGUCAAGAGACAUUUUAUUAAACACGAUUGGUGUCCAACGGGUGAAGUAAGAGUGUUUGGCAAUUGUGUUACUUGUGAAUUUUUUGAAACCUAUCUCGGCGACGAGUGUCCUUGGAAGAAGCAACCACAACUUCAUGACCCAACUAGACACGAGGCGAAAAAGGCUCGAAGUGGAUCAUCACACGAGAAGAGAACUGGACACCGAAAACAUCACAAAUGUUCACACCGGUUGUAAGACUGGUUUUUGGAGUGACACCGCUUAUUAAAUUAUUAUAUUGUGCAUAGGUUACAAAGGUGUUAGUAUAGAAUAUUAAGUUUCACUAUGCCCUGCUCGUAGAGCGUACUGAUAUAAUUAGUACCUAAAACUAGGUAAAAUCUAGUUAGUGUAGUUACAUUAAUCAUUAUAUUAUAGACUUACUAAAACUAUAAUAAAUCUAACUAAACUUAUAUAAAAUAAACAUGAGGUACCAAUCAGUGCAGGUAUAAUACCUACCCGUACAGGUUUGUCUGUACUGGCAACCUGUUUCUUUAAGGCACCCCUAGUCGAGAGAUGACGUUUAUGAUUACCCUUAUACUACAGACUAAACAGUCAGCCGAUAGUUGAAAAACGCAAUAAAU